rnacentral:rRNA from 2 species
UGGGGAAUUUUGGACAAUGGGGGGAACCCUGAUCCAGCCAUCCCGCGUGUGAGAUGAAGGCCUUCGGGUUGUAAAGCACUUUUGUCAGGGAAGAAAAGACUAUCGAUAAUACCGGUGGUCGAUGACGGUACCUGCAGAAUAAGCACCGGCAAACUACGUGCCAGCAGCCGCGGUAAUACGUAGGGUGCAAGCGUUAAUCGGAAUUACUGGGCGUAAAGCGUGCGCAGGCGGUUCGGAAAGAAGGAUGUGAAAUCCCAGGGCUCAACCUUGGAACUGCAUUCUUAACUACCGGACUAGAGUAUGUCAGAGGGGGGUAGAAUUCCGCGUGUAGCAGUGAAAUGCGUAGAUAUGCGGAGGAAUACCGAUGGCGAAGGCAGCCCCCUGGGAUAAUACUGACGCUCAUGCACGAAAGCGUGGGUAGCAAACAGG